UUGAUCUUAACCACCAAUCGUCGAUGAAUUCGCAAAACCCUCUAGUCGAUGUGCUGGCGAAACCGAUUUCCUUCUUUCUACAACAGUUCCUGUCGAUCGAAACCCUCUCCGCAAUUCUGCAACCUCGCCGUAGAGCCGCCCUCAAACCUUCGAUCAAAAGGCUUUACAUGUCUUCCCUUAAGCGCCUCCUCCAUUGCGAUCUCCCUCACCGCUGGUCCGCAAUCCCUCCCUUCCGUGUUCUCGCACCCUGUCUUGCCACUUGAACGACUUAUUCAUUGGAGCAGCUUAGGGAUGAUAUAAGGAGCCUCUUUGGAGGUUUAACUGCUUCUGGUAAAUCUGUCUUUGUUUACCUUCUUACAUUUUGCACACAUAAAGUAUGCACUUGAUUACCACAUUUUGCAGGAAAAAAACUGGGUGAGGAUGUCCUGAUCAAAUUUUGGUUGGGGACGGAAAAAAAUUUGCCACAAGGAUUUCAUAUCAAAUGCCUUUGGUCGGGGGAAUUCAUUUCGGCUUUGAUGAACUCCUUACAGAAAACAAACAGUGAAAGAGACUUCCCAUAUCCGAAGGCAAUGGGUCUCAUAUGGUCCGGAAACAUGGAACCUGUAGCCAGGUUUCAAAAAGAAAACCUGCUACAUCAUCAUCUAAUUUUACGAAAUUUUAUAACGAAUUCUUUGUAAAGAUUCUUAUAUUAUUCUCCUUAUCAAGAAAAACAAUUAUCUCA